rnacentral:rRNA from 1 species
AAAGGGUGCGUAGGCGGUUUAUUAAGUCAGUGGUGAAAGACGGUCGCUCAACGAUUGCAGUGCCAUUGAUACUGGUAGACUUGAGUGGGAUUGAGGUAGCUGGAAUGGAUAGUGUAGCGGUGAAAUGCAUAGAUAUUAUCCAGAACACCAAUUGCGUAGGCAAGUUACUAAGUCUCAACUGACGCUGAGGCACGAAAGUGUGGGUAUCAAACAGGAUUAAAUACCCGGGU